rnacentral:rRNA from 1 species
CGAUCACUUAUGAGUUUGAUCCUGGCUCAGAUGAACGCUAGCGGCAGGCCUAACACAUGCAAGUCGAGGGGCAGCGGGAGGUGCUUGCACUCGCCGGCGACCGGCGCACGGGUGCGGAACGCGUAUCGAAUCUGCCUCUAUCUGGGGGAUACCCCAUGGAAACGUGGAAUAAUACCCCAUAGUAUUACUUUAUCGCAUGAUUUAGUAAUUAAAGAAUUUCGGAUAGAGAUGACGAUGCGUAUCAUUAGCUAGUAGGUAAGGUAACGGCUUACCUAGGCAACGAUGAUUAGGGGUCCUGAGAGGGAGAUCCCCCACACUGGUACUGAGACACGGACCAGACUCCUACGGGAGGCAGCAGUGAGGAAUAUUGGACAAUGGUCGAAAGACUGAUCCAGCCAUGCCGCGUGCAGGAUGACUGCCCUAUGGGUUGUAAACUGCUUUUAUACGGGAAGAAAAACACCUACGUGUAGGUGACUGACGGUACCGUAAGAAUAAGGACCGGCUAACUCCGUGCCAGCAGCCGCGGUAAUACGGAGGGUCCAAGCGUUAUCCGGAGUCAUUGGGUUUAAAGGGUCCGUAGGCGGGCUAUUAAGUCAGAGGUGAAAGUUUGCAGCUCAACUGUAAAAUUGCCUUUGAUACUGAUAGUCUUGAAUUGUAGU